rnacentral:rRNA from 1 species
GAUGAACGCUGGCGGCGUGCCUAAUACAUGCAAGUCGAGCGAACGGACGAGAAGCUUGCUCUCCUGCUGUUAGCGGCGGAAGGGUGGGUAACACGUGGAUAACCUACCUAUAAGACUGGGAUGACUACGGGGAACCGGAGCUACUAACGGCUAAUAUUUUCAACCGCAUGGUUCAAAAGUGCAAGACACUCUUGCCGUCAGUUAUAGCUGGAUCCGCGCUGCAUUAUCUAGUUGGUAAGGUAACGGCUUACCAAAGCAACACUCCCUAGCUGACCUGAGAGGGUGAUCGUCCACACUGGAACUGAGACACCGUCCAGACUCCUACGGGAUGCAUCAGUGUUGCAUCUUGCACAAUGGUCAAAAGCCUUACGCACCAACGCCUCGUGAGCGAUGAAGGUCUUCUGAUCGUAAAACUCUGUUAUUAGGAAAUAAACUAUUUGUAAGAAACUGUCCACAUCUUAACGGUACCUAAUCAGAAAGCCACGGCUAACUACGUG